GCCGCUGUCGCUCAACGGACAGAGCAACUCCACUCGCAGGGGGAAGGUGUGGGUUCAAAUCCCAUCAGUGGCAC
rnacentral:tRNA from 1 species